CCAGCCAUGCGUCAAGAAAAGCCGCUAUUGUUUUACUUAAGCCCGUACCGUAAACCGACACAGGUGGAUGAGGAGAGAAUCCUAAGGCCGACGGGAGAAGCAUUGUUAAGGAACUCGGCAAAAUGACUCCGUAACUUCGGGAGAAGGAGUGCCAGCGAGAGCUGGCCGCAGAGAAUUGGCCCAAGCAUCUGUUUAGCAAAAACACAGGUCUAUGCAAAACCGUAAGGUGAAGUAUAUGGGCUGACGCCUGCCCGGUGCUGGAAGGUUAAGAGGAGAGGUUAGCGGCAACGCGAAGCUUUGAAUUUAAGCCCCAGUAAACGGCGGCCGUAACAAUAACGGUCCUAAGGUAGCGAAAUUCCUUGUCGGGUAAGUUCCGACCCGCACGAAAGGCGUAAUGAUUUGGGCACUGUCUCAACAAUGCACCCGGUGAAAUUGAAAUACCAGUGAAGAUGCUGGUUACCUGCGCCAGGACGGAAAGACCCCAUGGAGCUUUACUCCAGCUUGAUACUGGGAUUCGGUAUUGCAUGUACAGGAUAGGUGGGAGGCUAGGAAGUGAUAACGCCAGUUGUCACGGAGCCGCUGUUGGGAUACCACCCUUGCAGUAUUGGAUUUCUAACCAGCGACCAUGAACUGGUCGGGGGACAAUGUCAGGUGGGGAGUUUGACUGGGGCGGUCGCCUCCGAAAGGGUAUCGGAGGCGCUCAAAGGCUCCCUCAGAAUGGACGGAAACCAUUCGAAGAGUGCAAAGGCAGAAGGGAGCUUGACUGCGACACCGACGGGUGGAGCAGGUACGAAAGUAGGACUUAGUGAUCCGGUGGUAUAAAGUGGGAUUGCCAUCGCUCAACGGAUAAAAGCUACCCUGGGAUAACAGGCUUAUCACUCCCAAGAGUUCACAUCGACGGAGUGGUUUGGCACCUCGAUGUCGGCUCAUCGCAUCCUGGGGCUGAAGUAGGUCCCCAGGGUUGGGCUGUUCGCCCAUUAAAGCGGUACGCGAGCUGGGUUCAGAACGUCGUGAGACAGUUCGGUCCCUAUCCGGCGUGGGCGUAGGAUAUUUGAGAGGAGCUGUCCUUAGUACGAGAGGACCGGGAUGGACUGGCCGCUGGUGUAUCUGUUGCAUACCAAAUGCAUGGCAGAGUAGCCAAGCCGGGACGGGAUAAACGCUGAAGGCAUCUAAGCGUGAAGCCCCCCUCAAGGUGAGAUAUCCCCACGUAAGUAGUAAGACCCCUUGAAGACGACGAGGUAGAUAGGUCAGAGGUGGAAGUACAGUAAUGUAUGGAGCUGACUGAUACUAAUCGGUCGAGGGCAUGAUCA
rnacentral:rRNA from 1 species